GCCCGGGUGGCUCAGUGGUUGAGCAUCUGCCUUUGGCUCAGGUUGUGAUCCUGGGGUUGUGGGAUCAAAUCCUCCAUCGGGCU
rnacentral:tRNA from 1 species